GGCCGAGGGGCAGGGGCGGGCUUGUUUACGGCCGGACUGCGCAGGCGUGCUCACCUGGCGCGCUCGGCGCGCCAGGGCGUCCGGAGGCCCCUCCCCCGGGCGAGGCCCCCGGCCAGUUCCGCUGUCGCGCAGGUGAGGGAGGCUAGGACUGGAGGUCGUGCUAGCCGUGCCGCCGCCUCCGCCGCCCCCUCCGCCUCCCCCCGGGGCUGAGCCGAUGAGAACCCUUCAGCCUGUGCCCACCUGUCUCAUCAGCCCCCCUGGGCCCAGCCUCCCAGAUUCAUCUACAGCCGCCUCUGUCGGUGCCGCUCCAAGUGCCAGUGUGCGAGGACGCGCGUCGGCACCAGAACAGAAGUUCUGUCCAUCACGGUGCACACUGAGGUCAGCUGACCGCCCUGCUGGCCAGCUUCACCAGCAAGGAAGCGCCAUGUCCUGGGGCGAGGGGUCGGGUGGCAGUCUGUGAAUUGACAGCCCACAGUUCAUACUUCAAGGGGGACACUGUCUCUGAUGAGAUGACUCGGGGUCUUAGGAGUGAGGUCCCAGGACAGGAAGUGGGUCUUCUGGAUCUUGGAGUCCCCAGACCUAGAUCAGUGUGUCAAAUGAAGGUUGAAUGAAAUCUCUUGCCUCGUAGAAGGAAUAUCAGGCAUUCGCAAUGCCUAUUGUCCAUUCUUUCAUCUACCCUGUAAAUUAUUUUGGAAAGUUUGAAAUACUUUCUUAUGUUUGUUUUUAUCCAGAAUAAAAAAAAAACUAGAAAUUUUA